rnacentral:lncRNA from 1 species
GUGAGCGAAGGCGCUGAAUCCUGAGGGUCAGAUCUCCAAGAAGGAGGGAGGCUGGUCCUAGUUCCCGAGGUCCUAGACUAGGUCUAGAUCACUGGGUAAAAGAAGGGGAGCGGCAGCACGUAUGGGGACUAAUCUGUCACGGCGGCGCCCUACCUCUUCUUCCGGCCCGGCUCGUCAUGGCGGCGCCCUGAGUAGCCACUUCCGCCCUCUUCUGGCUAAAUUGCUUCAUCCCUAUUUCCGGCUUGCCAUGGCAGCGCUCGGGGUUUAACGGAAGUAAGCAAUGGAAAGUAUGGUGGUGCCUCGGGUCCAAAGAGAAUGCGCCGCUGAGUUGCGCGGCACCUGACGGGAUUGAGCCUCAGACACAAGCGCUCCAAAUCUCCGACUGUAGCUGGUGGGAAGCGCCUGCUGUUGCUGCAGCGUCUCAACAUGUUGUUCCCAUUUUCGUUGGGUGCUGUAGCGGUAGGCUGUUGGGCUCAGGGAUAGGGGGCCUGAUUCCUAACGCCGCGCUGCCACCAUCGGCCUUGCGCAGACGCUGAUAAUCCCCCUGGCACCCAGGUUCAUGCGAGCGCUUGGAACAGGAGGGAAGAGGGAGUCAAACCAAGAGCCGAACUAAUUCGGCUUGGGCCUGCCAUUUACCCAGCCUGGGACCCAGACGUUUCCCCAUCCCUUAGCGUACGCCAGGACAGACAUGGCGUUUAAUCCUGACUCCAUGAGACUAUCAAGCUAGUUACUUCCUCUCUUUGUAAUUAAUUCCUCCUAAUGUAGCAACAUUUCCCCCUUCCUUCUCAUCUGUCUUAAAAGUGUGAGGUUAGACCUGGGCGUGAGUUUCCCCACAUAAGAGACUGGAUAUCCCCUGGUCAGAGAACUGAGCAUCAGUCCUGCCGUUUCGUUUGCAGAUCUUUCAAGACUCUAGUCAAAAUGAGCAGAACAUUUUGCAGUUAAUCAUAGAGUUGAAGAUGAACGAGAAGAUGAACGAGAGCUACUUGAUUGUGAACUAGUAACGACCACUUGGAGUCGCAGUGUGUCUGUAAAAUGAUGAUGACAGUGACAUCAUAGAGGACAUAGUGCAAGUGAACAGUUUGAUACUGAGCUUGGAGCCUCAGUAGUUCUGGAUAAGUGAGAGCUGUACGGGAGGUUGUAACCAUGAGCUACCCUGGUUGGCAGUUGACAUCCGAGGACCAGCACUGGUCAUCGCACAGAAAGAAAACUUUACACCUUGAGAUCCCUCCAUUCUUCUUAAACUUCCAAGUGUAUGUUUGAUGGGAGAAGAGGGGAAGGGAUCAACAUUUAAAGGCUCUGGAAGGAGUCAGAUAACUGUUUUUGGCUUCAAAUGUAGAAUGAAUCCCUAGAUUUUCCUCUACUGAGAGAAUGAAAUCUUAACCCAUUCCGUUCCCUUGUUGGUACUCAGAAACGGAUACCCCAAAGAUGCAUUUUGACAUGCUGAAAGGCCUUAGAAGCUGCCUUAGAAGAUCUGUCUAACCUUGUCUUGUUGGUGUGUGGAAGUGGGAAUGCCCACAGGUGCACAGGGAGGGAGUUUCUGAAAUUAUCUGACCGAGAAAGCAAAAAAAAAAAAUCAAUUGUCUUAAA